rnacentral:rRNA from 1 species
UACGUAGGUGGCAAGCGUUGUCCGGAUUUACUGGGCGUAAAGAGCGCGCAGGCGGUCGUAUAAGUCGAAUGUGAAAGCCCCCGGCUCAACUGGGGAGGGUCAUUCGAUACUGUUCGACUCGAAGGCAGGAGAGGGAAGUGGAAUUCCGGGUGUAGUGGUGAAAUGCGUAGAUAUCCGGAGGAACACCAGUGGCGAAGGCGACUUCCUGGCCUGUUCUUGACGCUGAGGCGCGAAAGCUAGGGGAGCAAACGGG